CAUGGCAUGAGAAUUUUCUCUAUUUUCUAAGCCAAAUUGAAAAAGGAAAAAAAAUUCCUCUCUUUUCCCUGGAAUAAUUAGAGCUUCAUGAGGGGGUUAUUAUACACACUUGAUAGUCUAGUCACAUUUGCAGUGAUUCCUUUCCUCUUUGUGAGGCUGACCAAAGUGGAAUAACCAAACUUGAUCCAAACUGGCCCUUCAGGUCUAGGAAGUCUCCACUCUAGGGCCUGGGAUUUCCAGGGUUGGACUCUUCUGGGGGUGUGAGGGUCAUUAUUUCUCAACCUCCACCAUUCCCAUUUGGAUGACUCUCCUUUCCGUCUGCUAAAUAGUUCAAACAGAUCUUCCCAGAGCUCCUUCCCUGGAACCUCUCAGAACACCCUUCAUACUUUCCCCGGGGCGAUUCCUGUCUGAUAACUCUCCUGUCCUCCCAGUUCUCCAAGCCAAACUCACUCAGGCCCUUUGCCAGCUCUCCUAUGCAAAUGAGUCAAGAUAGCCAAUGGCAGAGCUAGGAUAUGAAUAUUUCUCAUAUUCACCCUGUCUUCAUUCUUCUAAACCAUUCUGUAGUCUCUCUCUCUCUCAAUAAAUACUUCCUUAUUUUGUCCUAGCAACUCAAGAAACAUUUUGUAUAGGACGUUGUGGAUUACAUACUAUUUUCAUGAACACUAUGCCAUCUGUGAAGAAGUCUUAGUACUUAAAUGCUAUUUCAUAUGACAUUUCAGAAGAGAAGAGAGUUAAGGAAUCCUCUCUUUUCUACAGAGAUGUAUGAAAGCAAUUACUACUGAAACUAAAGAAAUGUCUCAAGAAGCAGUUAAUCCAGAGACAAGAUUCUAUCACAGGUGUUUCUUCCAGAGCCAUGUGUUGCAUGAAAUAUGAACUGAGAACAUCAGGCCAGCUGAUUACAGAGCAGAUGCUGAUGAAGACAAAUAUAUGUGGUUAACACUUAAUGAGAUUCAGUGAUGCCUGGAAUUCUCCAGAAGAAGAAUAAUUUCUUGAUGCUUUGAACAAAAUUCUCAAUAAUGAUAUCCAAAGAAAGAAUCAGCUGUGCAGGCUGCUGCUGCAGUUCCUGCAGAAGAACAUUGUCAUCGCCGCCAUCACGAUGACGGCAAUCCUGUUCUCUGUGUACACGUGGAGGAAACAGCCAUUGUGAGUGGCUCUUUGCAUUCUCCUUCCUUCCAAGAACUUGUAAGUGUUUGGGCCAAUGUUGUUCCCGGAGCUUCCUGAAGAUUGCAGAUUUAGGAGGUGGGCACAGGGAUCUCUUAAGUCUGUUUGUGUUUCAUCAUCAACCAGUGUGCUCCCAAUCAUCUGAGCAAAUGGUUUCAGGCACUGUCUGGUGAUUCUGUUGCACACCCAGCUUUGGGGAUCCCUAGCCUGGGCUAUGAGGAGAGUAGGUCUGAAAUUCAGCUCGUUCACCCUGGUCAGCUGCACUGGUAUUAGCAUACAGAAGCAUGGCUCUACUGAUUGGCAAACAGCCACUUCCUAGAACAUUCCAUGCACUUCCCCAUGAUGCUGUAUGUGAAGGGUUAGUGCCUGGCACCUCAGGGGCCAUGAGAGACAAGGCUCCAA